AUGGAAAUAGCAAGGUGCAAAACUCAAUUAAUUAUAUGAUCUGAACUUUGUGGAAAAUAUACAUACAGAAAAAGCAGCCUGGAAAAAUGUUUAUCAAAAUGUGUCAGUCAUUGACUCAGGGUGAUGAGCUACUAGUUAAUUUUGUUCUUCUUUGUAUUUUCUAAGUAUUCCAGAAUCCAUAUUCUCCCAUCACCACCACAUUUACUCCACUGCAAAUCCCAAAUAACAGGCCUGGAUAAAGAAGGACUACAUACUACUAUAACACUGAUCUCAAUUUUCCCUGAACUCCGUCCAUCCUGCAUCCCAAUUAUCAAACUCUUCUGUUUGAUUUUCUUAUCUCCACCUAUCAAUUUUCCUUUGUGCUUAAUAGGGGAGAGAUAGCUUAUAAAUAAGAAAAAAAUAAUUAGUACUAAAUAAUAAUUGCUUUAGACACACAUGUUUUUAUAUCCUGUACAAAAUUGCAAGCCUGUUGAUUGAUGUUCAAGGAUUGUGUGUUUUUUUUUUCUUUCCUCUACAGCUAUUGGAGAAUAAAGUAAGCCCACUCCUCACCAUAGGAAUUCAUGUACUAUGGAUUUCUCUUCCCUAGGCCAGCAGUUCGAGAAACACAUAACAAAUAUCCUGUGAAAGAACACAGGGUAUGUGGUGGACUGGGAUAAGGAGAAGGUUGCACAAAGUAUAGGGUAACACCAUCUAAUUAGCCACAGAGUGUUCAGCCAGGGCUUUGUGUUGGCUUUCAAGAGGUAGAAAAGCUAUCAAGUGCUCAUCCGAUUAGGAAGGAAAUCUCUACUGCUUGUUAUUAGGCAGCAGACAGACUCAACAUGAGAAAGAGCACCAGCAGAUGGGAGCCCUGCAGCAGACUCCCACUGCCUAAUAAAAUAUAAUUGAAGCUGAGUGUUACAUUAAAAAAAAAGGGUCAUGGGAACACUCUCAGGGUCUUUGCUGAAAUCAGAAAAUGCAAAAAUGCAGGUUCAGCUAUUUGCAUAUUGAAACCUAGGCAGGCUUUCUUUCUUUAUGCUUUUUCUUUCUAUUUAUUUUGGUGUGUGUGUGUGUGUGUGUGUGUGUGUGUGUGUGUGUGUGUGUGUGAUGAAACAAUACCAUAUGUGGUAAACUGAAGUUAUUGUAUUUUGGAAGCAUUAUGCAACAUCUGUGCCAUCCCUUAGUUAGGGUUUUACUGCUGUGAGCAGACACCAUGACCUAGGCAAUUCCUAUCAGGACAACAUUUAACUGGGGCUGACUUAGAGGUUCAGAGUUUCAUACAAUCAUCAUGAAGGUGGGAAUAUGGCAGCACCCAGGCACACAUGAUCCAGUAGGAUCUGAGAGUUCAACAUCUUUAUCUGAAGGCUGCUAUCAGAAUACCGGCUUCCAGGCAGGUAGGAUACAGGUCUUAAGCCAAUGCCCACAGUGACACACCCACUUCAACAAGGCCAUAUCUUUUAAUAGUCCCACUCCCUGGGAUACAAACCAUCACAACGACCAAAGAAAUGGAAUCAAAGAUGAGCCUUAGUGUCUCUGUCCUGAGCUCAGAAGUCUGUUCUUUAGUUUAAGGCUCUGUCUCCUGGGGGUAUCUGGCCUCUUGGUCAGCAACUCCUUUCUUAGGUCUAGGAGCUGCUCAUGUCACCAAGAGUGGCAAUGACUAUUUCUUCCAGCUUGUAUUUGUUUUGUUUAACUGCCAUCUUGACUUGGGAGCCCACUAGGUUGCACAUAAAAUGAUCCUUCAGUCUGUUUCCCUACCACCCUGCUCCUGUACUUCAUUGCAUUGUUCAUGUGGGAUAAUAAAUCUGUAAUUGUCUUCCCACUAAACUGCAAUCAGUGGGAGGCCAGGGAUGGCCCUUGCUCCACUGUAUUUAUAUUUGGUACAGAGUUCAGCAGUGUUCUGUUGAUACAAAAUAUCCUAUACUCCAAGACUCAUCUGGGGAUGAGAUAGAGACUUGCUCUCUGUUUACAGAAUACUAGCAAGCUUGGAAGACAGAUGUAAAUCAUUUCUGUGUAUCAUGAUCAAGUGUUACCAAACAUUUGCUAUCAUACCAAGUUCUAUUUCAAAUGAUUGGGACACAAUAGUUUCUUUCUUCAAAGUAUGCUUUUCAGGGUACUGUGGUUAGCAUGCAAUAGAGAGGUAUUUUAUGGUACAGGGCUAUGGCAGGGACUCAGAAUGGCCUGAAACAUGCACUGAGAAGGCUACUUCAAACUCAAAAUACAAAACAUACAGCUUGGGAUCAGGAGUGUGUGAGUUUGAGUGUGUUUAUGUAUAUGUGUGUGUAGGUAUAGUAAUUAUACAUUUUCAUAAAAAUCUACCUCUACAAACCAUUGUGGACACACAUAUAUACAGAAACAUAGAUCCUGGGCUUUAAAGUCAUGGAAGUCCCUUAGGUAAGGAGGAGGGGCACAGCUUGCUGGAAGUUCUAUGUGCAGGAGGCCCUACCCUGGUUGACUUAGAGAGCAAUGGAACAUAGAGCUGGGUGGCUGAUUGGCUGCCAAAUGACUGAGACUUGUAGGAAGGGGCCUUCUUUGUGUAGCUGCCACACCAGAUAAUGAUGGCCUCUUCUUCAAGCAGACACAUAUUUGCCUGCCUUAGCAUCUGUCCUCCCUCUCCAACUUGUUUUUUGCGGUCUUACUCUGGCUUAGGAGCCAUUUUCAUGGCCCAGUCCUUGUGUCUUUUAGAUUCUCUGUCAAGUUCUCUCACUCAGGGUGUGCUACCUCAGAAUCACUUAGCCACAUAUUCUGUAAUGCAGUAUAACUGUGGAGUCAUGAUCUAUUAUAGAAAUAUUACUUAAAAUCAUACAGAGAGAUUCAUCUAUAUUCCUUUGGCAGUUAAAAACCCGAAUCCCCUUUUAAUUUUGUAAUGAAAACAUUCUGUCUUCAAGUCAGGGAAUGGUGGUAUAUGCAGCACCCAGGAGGCUGAUGCCGGAGGAUUAUGAGUCUAGUCCAGCCUGCACUAGGCAGAGAGACCACAUAUCAUAAAAACAAAAGUAAAAGUGAAAUAAGCCAAACAUCACAUAUUUUCUCUCACAUAUUGAAUCUAGAUGUGUGUGUGUGUGUGUGUGUUUAAGUUAUAAAAAUAAAAAGAGGAUCAUGAGAUGGUUGGAAGAGAUUUUAAGGUAGAGACAGACAAUUAUGAAACACAUGACAUGAAGGCCUAAAGUGUGACUAUUUAGAAAGAAGGGGAUCAGUAGGAAGGAAGUAUGGGGAAGGGCAAAAUGGAUGUAUAAGAAAAAAGUGUAUAACACCUAUGUAUGCAAAGGCCAUAAGAAAACCUACAAAUCUGUGUGCAAACUUUAAGAAUCAAGCUAAAAUUGAGUUCUCAAUUAGAACAUGAUGGUGCACUUGUAAUGCCAGCACUUCUUCGGUAACUCAGGUAGGAGGACUGCCAUGGUUUGAGGUCAGUCAGUGCUGAAUAAUGAGACUUGGUCUCAAACACACCCACUGACAUCCUAGCUAAAGGUUCUUGACCCAAAUUGGAGAAAAGAAAUUAGAUGAUUGAUCGAAUUUUCCCAAAGCAGAGAGCUAGACUUUUUUUUUAAAUUUAUAUUUCAUAGUUCAAUUUGUCUGGAUGCUGAAGUAGGCUCUAGAUGCCCUUUUCUCCUUUGUGUGAGCUUCUGGUAGUUAGAGUGAUUCAUCUUGGGUCAGGCAUAUUAUACCUUCUUCUUACCUAUUUUGACACCCAGGAAACCAUUGACUGAUAAAACAGCAACGCUUCUGCAAAAAGACUGAGAGACUUGGUGUACAAGGGAUCAUGUGUCAAAUAUCCAUCAGUCAGAAGAAAUACACAGAGAUGAACAAAUUUGGGCUACUAUCUUUGGGGCAAACAGAUGGCAUGUUUGUACUCCUGGGAACAUUGAUCAAGUGAGAGCAGGACAGAGAUAAGAUGGCUUUCUCCUAGGAUGGGUUUGAAAGCAGAGUCAGGAAAAUAACAGGUAAUGGAAAUCAAGGAAUGAAGACAUUGAUUGAUGAUGGGAAAGAGUAUGACUUACCAAACUUGGGGACAUUUCUAGGCAGCUGGCCACCUAUAGAUUUGCUUUGAGUUGUCUUUCGUCUUCAGGAAGAUAUUUGGUAACUAGAUGGCAGACUAAAAUAGAACUGCUGAAUAUGCUGACAUAUUUACAUCUUCAUUAAAAAAAGAAAGCCAACAGCAACAACAACAAAAGUCCCCUACUUUUUGGUCACAAGGUAGAACGCAGACAUGAAAGUAUAAAGAAAAAAAAUGUCUAAUCAUAUCACCAGAGAGUACCUUCAGUAGUUUUAUCUAUGCAUAUACAAGUACCUUCAACCUUUGUCCACUUAGGAUAUAUCUGAAGUAUUCCAUGUUAUAACUAGCCUUCCUCAUUAAAAAAGAGUGUUAAAAACCUAUAACUUCAUAUCCAGCCGCUAAAUAACCUCCAAUUAUGCAGAUUCAGAAUAAUUUACUUAAACUCCCAUGGGUUAGAAAUUUGCCUUUUUGCGUUUUAAAAUCUUUAUAAAUAAUGUGCCAAUAGGACCAGAUACCUAACCAUGAUGAUUAUCUUAAGAUAAAUGUCUAGAACAAACAGCAUGCAUGCUUUUAAGGAAUUUGAAUAGGAUUCAAGCUUUCUUUAUGAAGGUCAUGUCAAUUUAUAUUGCUGGAUCAAUUAUAUUGGCUGCAUGGAAGCCUUUCCAGUGUGCCAAUAAAGUCUAUUUUUUUUAAGGUAUUUUCCUUGUUUACAUUUUCAAUGCUAUCCCAAACGUCCCCCAUACCCACCCCCCCAAUCCCCUACCCACCCACUCCCCCUUUUUGGCCCUGGGGUUCCCCUGUACUGGGGCAUAUAAAGUUUGCGUGUCCAAUGGGCCUCUCUUUGCAGUGAUGGCCGACUAGGCCAUCUUUUGAUACAUAUGCAGCUAGAGACAAGAGCUCCAGGGUACUGGUUAGUUCAUAUUGUUGUUCCACCUAUAGGGUUGUAGUUCCCUUUAGCUCCUUGGGUAAUUUCUUUAGCUCCUCCAUUGGGGGCCCUGUGAUACAUCCAAUAGCUGACUGUGAGCAUCCACUUCUGUGUUUGCUAGGCCCCGGCAUAGUCUCACAAGAGACAGCUAUAUCUGGGUCCUUUCAG
rnacentral:lncRNA from 1 species